rnacentral:rRNA from 1 species
AUUGAACGCUGGCGGCAUGCCUUACACAUGCAAGUCGAACGGCAGCACGGGAGCAAUCCUGGUGGCGAGUGGCGAACGGGUGAGUAAUAUAUCGGAACGUGCCCAGUAGUGGGGGAUAACUGCUCGAAAGAGCAGCUAAUACCGCAUACGACCUGAGGGUGAAAGGGGGGGAUCGCAAGACCUCUCGCUAUUGGAGCGGCCGAUAUCAGAUUAGCUAGUUGGUGGGGUAAAGGCCUACCAAGGCAACGAUCUGUAGUUGGUCUGAGAGGACGACCAGCCACACUGGGACUGAGACACGGCCCAGACUCCUACGGGGGGCAGCAGUGGGGAAUUUUGGACAAUGGGCGCAAGCCUGAUCCAGCAAUGCCGCGUGCAGGAAGAAGGCCUUCGGGUUGUAAACUGCUUUUGUCAGGGAAGAAAUCCUCUAGGUUAAUACCCUUGGGGGGAUGACGGUACCUGAAGAAUAAGCACCGGCUAACUACGUGCCAGCAGCCGCAGUAACAC